rnacentral:rRNA from 1 species
GUGCCAGCCGCCGCGGUAAUACGGAGGGUGCAAGCGUUACUCGGAAUCACUGGGCGUAAAGCGCGCGCAGGCGGCCUUUUAAGUUGGAUGUGAAAGCCUAUGGCUCAACCAUAGAACUGCAUCCAAAACUAUUAGGCUAGAGUGUGGGAGAGGAAGAUGGAAUUAGUUGUGUAGGGGUAAAAUCCGUAGAGAUAACUAGGAAUACCAAAAGCGAAGGCAAUCUUCUGGAACAUUACUGACGCUGAGGCGCGAAAGCGUGGGGAGCAAACAGGAUUAGAUACCCUGGUAGUCCACGCCCUAAACGAUGAAUGUUAGUCGUCGGGUAGCUAGUCUAUUCGGUGAUGCAGCUAACGCAUUAAACAUUCCGCCUGGGGAGUACGGUCGCAAGAUUAAAACUCAAAGGAAUAGACGGGGACCCGCACAAGUGGUGGAGCAUGUGGUUUAAUUCGAAGAUACGCGAAGAACCUUACCUAGCCUUGACAUAUAUUAGAACUCANCANAGAUGCAGAGGUGCCUUCGGGAGCUUUUAUACAGGUGCUGCACGGCUGUCGUCAGCUCGUGUCNNGAGAUG